GAUGAAGAACGCAGCGAAUUGCGAUAAGUAAUGUGAAUUGCAGAAUUCAGUGAAUCAUCGAAUCUUUGAACGCACCUUGCGCUCCUUGGUAUUCCGAGGAGCAUGCCUGUUUGAGUGUCAUGAAAUUCUCAACCUUUUCAGCUUUCUUUGUUGAUCAGGCUUGGAUGUGGGAGUAUGCGGGCUUCUCAGAAGUCGGCUCUCCUGAAAUGCAUUAGCGGGACCUUUGUUGCCUGGCUUUGGUGUGAUAAUUAUCUACGCCAUUGUAGUCAAGCAGCUUAAAAUGAGGUUUCAGCUUCUAACCGUCUCCCCUGAGACAACUUUUUGACAAUUUGACCUCAAAUCAGGUAGGACUACCCGCUGAACUUAAGCAUAUCAAUAAGCGGAGAA
rnacentral:misc_RNA from 1 species